CCUACGGGAGGCAGCAGUGGGGAAUUUUGCGCAAUGGGGGCAACCCUGACGCAGCAACGCCGCGUGAGUGAUGAAGGCCUUCGGGUCGUAAAGCUCUGUCAGAGGGGAAGAAAUGCAGGUGGUGAACAACCAUUCUGUUUGACGGUACCCUCAAAGGAAGCACCGGCUAACUCCGUGCCAGCAGCCGCGGUAAUACGGAGGGUGCGAGCGUUGUUCGGAAUUAUUGGGCGUAAAGCGCGUGUAGGCGGUUUGUUAAGUCGGAUGUGAAAGCCCCGGGCUCAACCUGGGAAGUGCAUUGGAUACUGGCAGACUUGAGUACGGGAGAGGAGAGUGGAAUUCCCAGUGUAGGAGUGAAAUCCGUAGAUAUCGGGAGGAACACCGGUGGCGAAAGCGGCCAUCUGGUCUAUUCCUGACGCUGAGGAGCGAAAGCUAGGGGAGCAAACAGGAUUAGAUCCCCCGGUAGU
rnacentral:rRNA from 1 species